GGUGAGUUAAAUUUUCACUUACAAUGAAAAAUACCCUUUGGGCACUUCUGUAGUUUUAAUAAUAAUUAAU
rnacentral:tRNA from 1 species